rnacentral:rRNA from 1 species
CCUACGGGAGGCUGCAGUGAGGAAUAUUGGUCAAUGGGCGUAAGCCUGAACCAGCCAAGUCGCGUGAGGGAUGAAGGUUCUAUGGAUCGUAAACCUCUUUUAUCAGGGAAUAAAGUUCGGGGCGUGUCCCGUUUUGUAUGUACCUUAUGAAUAAGGAUAGGCUAACUCCGUGCCAGCAGCCGCGGUAAUACGGAGGAUCCGAGCGUUAUCCGGAUUUAUUGGGUUUAAAGGGUGAGUAGGCGGCGUUUUAAGUCAGCGGUGAAAGUCUGUGGCUCAACCAUAGAAUUGCAGUUGAAACUGGGAGGCUUGAGUAUGUUAGAGGGAGGCAGAAUGCGAGGUGUAGCGGUGAAAUGCGUAGAUAUGAGGCAGAACCCCGAUUGCGAAGGCAGCCUGCCAAGCCAUGACUGACGCUGAGGCACGAAAGCGUGGGGAUCAAACAGGAUUAGAUACCCGGGUAGUC